UCUGCCUGCCAGUGUAAGAAAGAGUAAGGGUUGAUCCUCCUGCAGCCCUCUGUUUUCUCCUCCUCUUUCACACAUCCAAGUAGCUUUUCUUUCUCAGAAGACAUUGGUCUUACAAAAGAAACUAAACUAAUCAAAUGGAGGAUGCUGAACGUCUACAGAACUGCUCAGGGCAUUCAGCCAGUCUCCAGAGAGAAGGAUGCACCCUGCCCACCCAUCCACUCAAUCACACCUCAUAGUAUUAUUUUCCUGAAAUUACAGUUACAAAAUUAAUACUCACAGACUACUGAAAAAGCAUUUACUUUCUAGCCUUCUGUCAAAUGUGGCUCAUUAAAUGAUACCCUGAACCACAGGUCUUGAGCUAAAAUUAGGGGUAGUUUCAAUUUUCUUUUAUGUGAUAUUGAACACAGGUCUGGAGAGAUGGAAUGGGGAAGAAGAAUGAGGAGUGAGAGAUCAGUUACACCUUUUCAUGAAGACCACAAACUUUCUUCUAGGCAUGCACACAACCACCUUUUCCAUCCAGUCAUCCAUAUUCUGUCCUGCAGGAAUGCCCCUACGGUGGUCACCAUUGGCUUAACAGUGAACCGACAGCGUUCGCUUCUUGAGGGCAGCGUGAGAGUUAUCACAGGAAGACCAUGUCUGUAAUUAAUAGUUACUUCUGGGCGAGGAAAAAAAGAAAACUCCAUGAAAAAGUCCCACUUGAAAGAUCUUGGCAUCGUGGUGCCCAAAGGCAGAAGUUCUGCUGCAGUUCAGAGUCCACAGUGUCCC